rnacentral:rRNA from 1 species
AGAGCGAACGCUGGCGGCAGGCCUAAUACAUGCAAGUCGAACGGAUCCUUCGGGAUUAGUGGCGGACGGGUGAGUAACACGUGGGAACGUGCCCUUUGGUUCGGAACAACUCAGGGAAACUUGAGCUAAUACCGGAUGUGCCCUUCGGGGGAAAGAUUUAUCGCCAUUGGAGCGGCCCGCGUCUGAUUAGCUAGUUGGUGGGGUAAAGGCCCACCAAGGCGACGAUCAGUAGCUGGUCUGAGAGGAUGAUCAGCCACACUGGGACUGAGACACGGCCCAGACUCCUACGGGAGGCAGCAGUAGGGAAUCUUGCGCAAUGGGCGAAAGCCUGACGCAGCCAUGCCGCGUGAAUGAUGAAGGUCUUAGGAUUGUAAAAUUCUUUCAGCGGGGACAUAAUGACGGUACCCGCAGAAGAAGCCCCGGCUAACUUCGUGCCAGCAGCCGC